UACGUAGGCAGCAAGCGUUUGUUCGGAGUUACUGGGCGUAAAGGGUGCGUAGGCGGCUUCUUAAGUCUGGUGUGAAAUCUCCCGGCUCAACUGGGAGGGUGCGCCGGAUACUGAGGGGCUAGAGUGUGGGAGAGGAAAGUGGAAUUCCUGGUGUAGCGGUGAAAUGCGUAGAUAUCAGGAGGAACACCGGUGGUGUAAACGGCUUUCUGGACCAUAACUGACGCUGAGGCACGAAAGCGUGGGUAGCAAACAGG
rnacentral:rRNA from 1 species